rnacentral:lncRNA from 1 species
ACAAACGCAUCACAUCUACCAUUAAAAUUGUUAAUUUUGAGACCUUUUGAUCACUAGUCAAAUGAUGUCGAAAAAUUAUGAAAUUUAAUUUCCAAAUACUUUUAAUAGUGUAGAUCAAGUCUAACGGAGCCGAUCGUCGAUUUGGAAGCCGCAUCAUCGAAAACAAUUUGGUAGCACGGAGGCCUCCGUGCUACCGAUAGUAUAGCAGCCUAGCUCUAUAUAUAUAUAUAUAUAUAGUUGAGCUAGAAUAGAAUCGGUAGCAAACGGGCUCCAUUGCUACCCAUUUGUUUUCGAUGAUGGAGCCUCCAAAUCGACGAUCGGCACCGUUGAAUAUGAUCUAUACCACUUGAAGUAUCUAGAAAUCAAAUUUCAUGUUUUUUCGAUAUUGUUCUUUUGUCCAUCAAGUGGGCAUAAAAAUGAACGGCUGAAAAUAAAUAUCCUCUAAAAAGUGAUGAUAGC